rnacentral:rRNA from 1 species
AGAGUUUGAUCCUGGCUCAGAUUGAACGCUGGCGGCAGGCCUAACACAUGCAAGUCGAGCGGAUGAAGGGAGCUUGCUCUCUGAUUCAGCGGCGGGCGGGUGAGUAAUGCCUAGGAAUCUGCCUAUUAGUGGGGGACAACGUUUCGAAAGGAACGCUAAUACCGCAUACGUCCUACGGGAGAAAGCAGGGGACCUUCGGGCCUUGCGCUAAUAGAUGAGCCUAGGUCGGAUUAGCUAGUUGGUGAGGUAAAGGCUCACCAAGGCAACGAUCCGUAACUGGUCUGAGAGGAUGAUCAGUCACACUGGAACUGAGACACGGUCCAGACUCCUACGGGAGGCAGCAGUGGGGAAUAUUGGACAAUGGGCGAAAGCCUGACCCAGCCAUGCCGCGUGUGUGAAGAAGGUCUUCGGAUUGUAAAGCACUUUAAGUUGGGAGGAAGGGCAGUAAGUUAAUACCUUGCUGUUUUGACGUUACCGACAGAAUAAGCACCGGCUAACUUCGUGCCAGCAGCCGCGGUAAUACGAAGGGUGCAAGCGUUAAUCGGAAUUACUGGGCGUAAAGCGCGCGUAGGUGGUUCGUUAAGUUGGAUGUGAAAGCCCCGGGCUCAACCUGGGAACUGCAUCCAAAACUGGCGAGCUAGAGUAUGGCAGAGGGUGGUGGAAUUUCCUGGUGUAGCAGUGAAAUGCGUAGAUAUCAGGAGGAACACCGAUGGCGAAGGCAGCCCCCUGGGCCUGUACUGACGCUCAUGCACGAAAGCGUGGGGAGCAAACAGGAUUAGAUACCCUGGUAGUCCACGCCCUAAACGAUGUCGACUAGUCGUUCGGAGCAGCAAUGCACUGAGUGACGCAGCUAACGCGUGAAGUCGACCGCCUGGGGAGUACGGCCGCAAGGUUAAAACUCAAAGGAAUUGACGGGGACCCGCACAAGCGGUGGAUGAUGUGGAUUAAUUCGAUGCAACGCGAAAACCUUACCU